rnacentral:rRNA from 1 species
CCUACAGGUGGCAGCAGUGGGGAAUAUUGGACAAUGGGCGAAAGCCUGAUCCAGCCAUGCCGCGUGUGUGAAGAAGGCCUUCGGGUUGUAAAGCACUUUCAGUGGGGAAGAAAGCCUUGGGGCUAAUACCCUCGAGGAAGGACAUCACCCACAGAAGAAGCACCGGCUAACUCCGUGCCAGCAGCCGCGGUAAUACGGAGGGUGCGAGCGUUAAUCGGAAUUACUGGGCGUAAAGCGCGCGUAGGCGGUCUGAUAAGCCGGUUGUGAAAGCCCCGGGCUCAACCUGGGAACGGCAUCCGGAACUGUCAGGCUAGAGUGCAGGAGAGGAAGGUAGAAUUCCCGGUGUAGCAGUGAAAUGCGUAGAGAUCGGGAGGAAUACCAGUGGCGAAGGCGGCCUUCUGGACUGACACUGACGCUGAGGUGCGAAAGCGUGGGUAGCAAACAGGAUUAGAUACCCUAGUAGUC